UCCUUUUCUGGUAUUAUCCCAGUGGAGUGAGGAAAAGAGAAUUUGAGCUCUUCCUUGUCUAGUCCUGUUGUAAAAAUGCAUUUAGCCUUUGCCGUGUGCUGAUCUUUUUUUUUCCUGAUUUUUCUUUUUUCUCCAUAGUAUAUUUACAAUUGUUACUUGCUCCUCAUUUACAAAUGCAGUUUGAUUCCUUGGCUUGGGAAUGUUCUUCAGCUUAGUGUUGAAAGGGAGUGUGAGGUAAAGGCAGGGAGGGGUUUUUUUUUAUUUAUUUAUUUUAUUAUUAUUUUUAAGUAAUGCUUAAUCUAGAAUUAAAUUCAGAAGAGUGCCUGGAGAAAAUAAGAUCUCUCUGAUCAGAUUCUCUGAAUACUUUUUGUCUUAUCUAAUAAGCAGGAGAAGCCAGUAGAGGGAAUUAUAUGCUGGAAGGGGAAUUUUAAUAGCAACAGAUAUGCAAAGAGGAAAGUAUCUCAAGUGAGCAGAGAGUACAGGCUGGCAAAUGAUGGAUCUUUUCUCUGCUUGAAAAAUGCAACUUUUUGUGGUACAAACCUGAAGCCCAGCCUUUCUCUCUUAAGCUAGAGAAGUCUUACCAGCUCCCUUGAGAUUUUGGGGUUGUGAGAAUCUGAAGUCCUUCCCUGCUGAUGUGGGAGCCUCCAACUAGAAAGAGGUAUACCAACUGCUGCUUUAUUGUCUGUAGCACAGUCAGUUCUGAUUGUAGAGGCCUUGGUUAUUUGUUUUGCAACCCUACUUUGAAGUACCUGACUGUUAAUUAAAAGUUGUCUUGGUAAAGGAAGAAACUUAAACUUGACUGUCCUGUGAGUGAUGAUUUCAGUUGAGUUAUAGGAGAGGAUGCUGCCUCUUAAUGGUGGUGCAGACAUGGUCAGGUCUGAAGUCAGGUUUGUUUCCUUCUGUUACUGAUGGCUGGGCACAUUACAGCAGAAUACGAGCAUCUCAUUGUGGGUGUUAGCUGCUCUCGCUACCUUCUUGUCUGAGAACCCAGUUAAAUAAUAUAGAAUUCUGUCUGAUUUCUGGAGGUGGUAUUUCAGGAGAUGUGUGCUGGGGGCAGGGCUAGCAGAAAAACCCAGGGUGCUGGCAGAUGUGCUGUCAAUAAAUUGGAGGAGGCAGAGAGCUGAGAGCUACGGGCAGCUGAGGAGCCAUUCGGGGUCACUCACUUUUCAUUGUACUGCAGCUAAUUCCAGUUAAAGCAGAAAGCAUUUUCUGUUUGUUUUUUUAAGUAGAAAAUAUGAAAAGCUUUAAUUUCUUGUGGUGACCUGCUCAGAGCUGGGCAGUUGAGUCCCAUUGUGCAGAGCUCCACAUUAAAGUAAUGCAAACGAUGGGUCCAACAGGUAGUUUUCUGGGGGGGGGGGUGAUAAAGUGAAGGUCUGGAUGAGCAUCCCUCUUUGCCUGUGCAGCUGUAGGCACCUGUCUUUUGUGUGUGCGACCAGACGUGUGGAGAGUCCCUUAAUGAGAAGGGGAAAAUGGGAAUGAGAGCAAACGAAGUUAUCGUUCCAAGCAGGACACACUUAGGAAAAAAAAAAACCAAAAAAAACAAGAGAAUAUACUUGGGUAAUGUGUUAGAAUCCCAUUUUUGAGCAAUAACACCCUCGUCGUUGUAUUCAAACACUGAGAUAAAUGCAUCAAUCUAAAUUCAUGAUUUUGGUUUUUUCGUACAGUUGCUAAUUAUUGAACAUAACUAGCUUAUUCAUAAUUUCUUUUCUCCUUCUGCUUGAUAGCCUUAAUCCUGUAUUUGUGCGGCUGUCAUUCCCAUGGUAACAGACUAGUGUCUGAAGCAGAAGAUUAUUAAAUACAGAAUAGCACAUUAAAAUAAUGUUAAGGUUCUGACUUAGAGACUUUCACAUGGGGGCAAACUUCAAAAAAAAAAAAAAAAAAGAGAGAACAUUUUUACAAAACGCAAUUUACUCUGCCUGUAAUGUUCUCUAUUCCCACAGCUAUUACUGAAGAGAUUUGUUUGAGUAACAGCCUGCUCCCUCACAAGCCAUCUUCUCCUGCUUUGCAGAGAAAUCCUAAUCUUAUGUUUAUGUCGUCAGUCUGUUUCCAUGGGAACUUUGUCACCAAUGUAUCAUGACCUCACAACAGGGCGGCAGAGGAGGAAAAUGUAGGUUGAGAGGCAGUAUUAAAAAUGAUUAUUUAAAAAAAAAAAAAAAGCAACGUCAAGCUUUAGUAGAUGGAACAAAACAAAAUAGAGAGAAGGGAAAUGGGGUUGUCGUGCACUUAGCUAGAAGCUUCUAUAUGUAUAUGUGCACAGCCACGUUUAUCUUGUCUCCUAAUCUUACUUUGCAGAAACUUUCCUAUAAAGACAUGUCAGUGCUAUAGCUCUGUUUAUCCCAUUGGGUUCAUGGCAGCAUUGAGCAUCCAAGGCUGCAUCAGUACACAGCAAAGGUGAACACAGUUUCCUUCAACUUGAUACUGGCUGCUGCUGGGCAGUGGUGCAUUCCUCUUUCCUGGAGAAAGUGCACCCAUUGGUGUCAGGAGCACAGAGGCAGUCGUAAGACUUUGUGUGAUCCUUCUCAGAGCUGUCAGUUAAGGCUUGGUGUGGGUGAUUCUGGUGUUCACCAAGGCAGCGUGGCUCCCAGCAGUGAGGGGUGUCACCAUGUUGGUGCACACCCAUCACCAAGGGGCACCACCGUGCUGUGUGUACAUUCAUAUCACCAUCAGGUGUCACCAUGUUGGUGCAUGCACACGUCCUGAUGGGCACCACCAUGUUGUGUGUGCUCGUGUCACCAUGGGAUGCCACCAUGUUGGUACAGAUACAAUUCUGUGCAGUCACUGUCCCUGGAGGUGUUCAAGAAAAGGGUGGCUGUGGCACUGAUGGACUUGGUGAGUGGGCAGCAUUAGCAGUAGGUGGUUGGUUGGGCUGGAUGAUCUUAGAGGCCCUUUCCAACCUUUAUGAUUCUGUGGUUCUAGGCAGAGAUCUCCAAAGGGAGGUUCUGCUUCCCAUGCAGGAGGCUGUGUGCUGGAGCGUGAUGGAGCCUCUGGGAUGUGCUGACUGAUCUGUAUGCCUGGCCUUGGAGCAGGGGCUUGUAUCACCCUGCUUCUCAGCUCGGCCAAUUCCUAAAUAUCAAGCAAGUAGCAAGCCAAGAUAAAAAUAGAGAGCCUGUGUACGGAAAGACGCAGCUGCUCAAACGUUAUCUUCAUUUCCAGGUGCUUAAAGCAGUGAAGCCACGUAGAGAAAGUGUGAUUGUCUGCAUACAUCAGGCAUCCACAGAGAGGAACAGACCCUGAGGCUUGUAACAGCUCUUUGAGAAGGCUUUGCAGAGUUUCUGUAAUCCUGGUGUGGUCUUUGAACCAUCGCAAGCUGAGGCAGAAUAACCACGACAGACUACAAAACAGCGCAUCUCACUGCGUGUGAGAACCUGCUGAAUUAAAGUGCAUCUUAU